rnacentral:rRNA from 1 species
UACGUAGGGGGCAAGCGUUGUCCGGAGUUACUGGGCGUAAAGCGCACGCAGGCGGUCUCUUAAGUUUGGAGUGACAGUUGGUGGCUUAACUGCCAAAGUGCUUCGAAAACUGAGAGACUUGAGGGCUUCAGAGGGACACGGAAUUCCGGGUGGAGUGGUGAAAUGCGUAGAGAUCCGGAGGAACACCAAAGGCGAAGGCAGUGUCCUGGGGAGUACCUGACGCUCAGGUGCGAAAGCCAGGGGGGCGAACGGG